GGGCGGUUAGCUCAGCGGUAGAGCACUGCUUUCACACGGCAGGGGUCAGUGGUUCAAUCCCACUACCGCCCACCA
rnacentral:tRNA from 1 species